AGUGAACGCUGGCGGUAGGCCUAACACAUGCAAGUCGAACGGCAGCACAGUAAGAUCUUGCUCUUACGGGUGGCGAGUGGCGGACGGGUGAGGAAUACAUCGGAAUCUACUUUUUCGUGGGGGAUAACGUAGGGAAACUUACGCUAAUACCGCAUACGACCUACGGGUGAAAGCAGUGGAUCUUCGGACCUUGCGCGAUUGAAUGAGCCGAUGUCGGAUUAGCUAGUUGGCGAGGUAAAGGCCCACCAAGGCGACGAUCCGUAGCUGGUCUGAGAGGAUGAUCAGCCACACUGGAACUGAGACACGGUCCAGACUCCUACGGGAGGCAGCAGUAGGGAAUCUUGGACAAUGGGCGCAAGCCUGAUCCAGCCAUACCGCGUGGGUGAAGAAGGCCUUCGGGUUGUAAAGCCCUUUUGUUGGGAAAGAACAGCAGCAGGUUAAUCCCCCCAUGUUCUGACGGUACCCAAAGAAUAAGCACCGGCUAACUUCGUG
rnacentral:rRNA from 1 species